rnacentral:rRNA from 1 species
GAUGAACGCUAGCGAUAGGCUUAACACAUGCAAGUCGAGGGGCAGCAUGGUCUUAGCUUGCUAAGACUGAUGGCGACCGGCGCACGGGUGCGUAACGCGUAUGCAACUUGCCUCACAGAGGGGGAUAACCCGUCGAAAGACGGACUAAUACCGCGUACACUCCAUCUUGGGCAUCCAAGGUAGAGGAAAAGAAAUUCGCUGUGAGAUAGGCAUGCGUCCCAUUAGCUAGUUGGUGAGGUAACGGCUCACCAAGGCGACGAUGGGUAGGGGAACUGAGAGGUUGAACCCCCACACUGGUACUGAGACACGGACCAGACUCCUACGGGAGGCAGCAGUGAGGAAUAUUGGUCAAUGGGCGAGAGCCUGAACCAGCCAAGUCGCGUGAAGGAUGACUGUCUUAUGGAUUGUAAACUUCUUUUAUACGGGAAUAACAAGAGUCACGUGUGACU